rnacentral:rRNA from 1 species
GUCUCCGGCCACGCCGCCCGCGUGGUCCCGUCGGAUCUCGGAAGCUAAGCAGGGUCGGGCCUGGUGAGUACUCGGAUGGGAGACCACCUAGGAAGAUCAGGUGCUGUCGGCA